CCCAUUCCUAUUCAUUUUCUGAUUUGGGAACCACCAUAGUGUUUUCACAGAGUCUCAUAAUUAUUUUUGUUGUGUUUUGUCAGUGUGUUUGCUAUUUCACAUAAGAGUGGAACCACCUGGUUUGAAGAGGAACAAUACCACUGGCAUUCCUGGCCUGCAAUUUGCAAAUGGUAGUUCAUGGGACACCUCAGCCUCCCUAAUUGUAUGAUCCAAUUCCUCAAACAGGGACUUCUGGAAAUAAAAUAUGUCUAAGGACUGGAGAAAGAAAGGAAAAGAGAAAAAAGCUACAUUUUUUUUCCCCUUUGAAAGCUGCACAUGAAGAAUCUGUGGCAUGUGUGGAGCGGCUAGCCUCGGUGUUUCAGAUGGCAGAGCUACAUGAUGGAGGAAGGCCAUUGACCCCACAUUCUAGGAGGAAGAAAUGAUUGUAUCCAAAUAAUACCGAUCAACACUACAAACCAAACAACAGAAAAAAUC